GCCCUGAUGGCGCAACUGGACAGCGCACCGGUCUACGAAGCCGGGGGUUGCAGGUUCGAAUCCUGCUCAGGGCAC
rnacentral:tRNA from 1 species